AAGAGCCGCGGUAUACUACCGUGCAAAGGUAGCAAAAUAAUUUGUUUCCUAAUUAGAAACUAGAAUGAACGGAAAAACGAGGAAAAAMCUAUCUCUAAAUUUUAUUAAAAAUUAACAUAUAAGUAAAAAGGCUUAUAUAUUCCAGCAAGACGACAAGACCCUAUAAAACUUUACCUUUUAAAAUUUAACCAAGAGACUCUCCACAAUUUAAGGGUUUAACUGGGGCGGUAUUUAUAUAAGUUAUAACUAUACAAACUAAMCCAUAAAUAAAUGAAAMCAAUAAAUCUUACAUUAAMCAAAAAAMCAAGUUACUUUAGGGAUAACAGCMCAAUAUUUUUUAAGAGCCCUUAUCGACAAAAAUGAUUGUGACCUCGAUGUUGAAUUGGGAAUACAUCUAGAAGC
rnacentral:rRNA from 1 species